UACUUUGGUUGUUUCUCAGCAACAACCAUGUUGGCAAGGCGCCGGGAAUACCUUUACCUAGGGGGUUUGCUUUCUUAUGGCCUUUCUAUGCUAAUUUGGUUACACUUUGCUUCUUCUGUCUUUGGGGGUUCUGCAGCUCUUUUCAAGUUUGAGCUGUAUUUCAGUCUUGUUGCUGUGUUUGUCCGUAUACUGGUUAUCAUGUUGAAGAACUCGGCCGAGAAGAAUGAGAAUAAGAAGAAAAGAAAGGAUUGAUGCUCCUCCUGUAACCCUGGUGAUGCAAAGCAAUGCAAAAUGAGAUCAUCACUUGUCUAUAUAGAGUUUUCCAUGUGA